CGGGGUGUGGUGUAACGGCACAAAGCAUCCGAGUCUUGGGCACUCGUGGCGAUGGUUCAACUCCAUCCACCCCGACCA
rnacentral:tRNA from 1 species